GACGAACGCUGGUGGCGUGCUUAACACAUGCAAGUCGAAUGGAAAGGCCCUGCUUUUGUGGGGUGCUCGAGUGGCGAACGGGUGAGUAACACGUGAGUAACCUGCCCUUGACUUUGGGAUAACUUCAGGAAACUGGGGCUAAUACCGGAUAGGAGCUCCUGCUGCAUGGUGGGGGUUGGAAAGUUUCGGCGGUUGGGGAUGGACUCGCGGCUUAUCAGCUUGUUGGCGGGGUAGUGGCUUACCAAGGCUUUGACGGGUAGCCGGCCUGAGAGGGUGACCGGCCACAUUGGGACUGAGAUACGGCCCAGACUCCUACGGGAGGCAGCAGUGGGGAAUAUUGCACAAUGGGCGGAAGCCUGAUGCAGCAACGCCGCGUGCGGGAUGACGGCCUUCGGGUUGUAAACCGCUUUCGCCUGUGACGAAGCGUGAGUGACGGUAAUGGGUAAAGAAGCACCGGCUAACUACGUG
rnacentral:rRNA from 1 species